UACGAAGGGUGCAAGCGUUACUCGGAAUUACUGGGCGUAAAGCGUGCGUAGGUGGUUCGUUAAGUCGGAUGUGAAAUCUCACGGCUUAACUGUGAGUGGCCAUUCGAUACUGCGAGGCUAGAGGUCGGUAGGGGGACAUGGAAUUCCUGGUGUAGCGGUGAAAUGCGCAGAUAUCAGGAGGAACACCGGUGGCGAAGGCGGUGUCCUGGGCCGAUCCUGACGCUGAGGAGCGAAAGCUGGGGGAGCAAACAGG
rnacentral:rRNA from 1 species